rnacentral:rRNA from 1 species
ACGUAGGGGGCGAGCGUUGUCCGGAAUUACUGGGCGUAAAGCGCACGCAGGCGGGUUCUUAAGUCGGCUGUGAAAACCACCGGCUCAACCCGUGUCUUGCGGUGGAUACUGGGAGACUUGAAUACGGGAGAGGGAAGUGGAAUUCCCGGUGUAGCGGUGAAAUGCGUAGAUAUCUGGAGGAGCACCAGUGGCGAAGGCGGCUUCCUGGCUCGUGACUGACGCUGAUGUGCGAAAGCUGGGGGAGCAAACAG